GGGGAUUUAGCUUAGCAGCGUAAGUACCUGCCUUGCAAGCAGGUGGUCGUGAGUUCGAUCCCUG
rfam:Cavia porcellus supercont2_61 genomic scaffold, whole genome shotgun sequence.